rnacentral:rRNA from 1 species
ACAGAGGGUGCGAGCGUUAAUCGGAAUUACUGGGCGUAAAGCGCGCGUAGGCGGCUUGUUAAGUCGGAUGUGAAAUCCCCGGGCUCAACCUGGGCACUGCAUUCGAUACUGGCAAGCUAGAGUAUGGGAGAGGAAGGUAGAAUUCCAGGUGUAGCGGUGAAAUGCGUAGAGAUCUGGAGGAAUACCGAUGGCGAAGGCAGCCUUCUGGCCUAAUACUGACGCUGAGGUGCGAAAGCAUGGGGAGCAAACAGG